rnacentral:rRNA from 1 species
AUUGAACGCUGGCGGCAGGCCUAACACAUGCAAGUCGAACGAGUGGCGGACGGGUGAGCACUGUCUGGGAAACUGCCUGAGGGAGGGGGAUAACUACUGGAAACGGUAGCUAAUACCGCAUACCAUCAGAUGUGCCCAGAUGGGAUUAGCUUGUUGGUGGGGUAACGGCUCACCAAGGCGACGAUCCCUAGCUGGUCUGAGAGGAUGACCGGCCACACUGGGCAUGAUACACGGUCCAGAGUCGUACGGGAGGCAGCAGUGGGGAAUAUUGCACAAUGGGCGCAAGCCUGAUGCAGCCAUGCAGCGUGUAUGAAGAAGGCCUUCUGGUUGUAAAGUACUUUCAGCGGGGAGGCGUUACCCGCAGAAGAAGCACCGGCUAACUACGUGCCAGCAGCCGCGGUAAUAC